rnacentral:rRNA from 1 species
CAAUAGCGUAUAUUAAAGUUGUUGCAGUUAAAAAGCUCGUAGUUGGAUUUCUGGGAGGGUGCCAAUGUCCGCCGACGUGCGUGCGCAGCGGCGCCCUCUCAUCCUUCUGUUAACGUCUCUCAGCAUUUAUUUGCCGGUGGCGGGCUCAGAUAUUUUACCUUGAGAAAAUUAGAGUGUUUCAGGCAGGCUAGGCCGGAAUACAUUAGCAUGGAAUAAUGGAAUAGGACUUCGGUCUCUUUGUUGGUUUGAGGGACUGCAGUAAUGAUUAAUAGGGAUAGUUGGGGGUGCUAGUAUUCAGCGGCCAGAGGUGAAAUUCUUGGAUUCGCUGAAGACUAACUUAUGCGAAAGCAUUCACCAAGGAUGUCUUCUUUAAUCAAGAACGAAAGUUGGGGGAUCGAAGACGAUCAGAUACCAU